rnacentral:rRNA from 1 species
UACGAAGGGGGCUAGCGUUGUUCGGAAUACUGGGCGUAAAGCGUUUGUAGGCGGUUGAACAAGUCAGUGGUGAAAGCCCAGGGCUUAACCCUGGAAUUGCCAUUGAAACUGUUCAGCUAGGGAGUGUUAGAGGAAAGUGGAAUUCCUAGUGUAGGAGUGAAAUCCGUAGAGAUUAGGAGGAAUAUCGAUGGCGAAGGCAGCUUUCUGGGACAUUUCUGACGCUGAGAAACGAAAGCGUGGGUAGCAAACAGG